AUGAACGCUGGCGGCGUGCCUAAUACAUGCCAGUCGAGCGAACGGACGAGAAGCUUGCUUCUCUGAUGUUAGCGGCGGACGGGUGAGUAACACGUGGAUAACCUACCUAUAAGACUGGGAUAACUUCGGGAAACCGGAGCUAAUACCGGAUAAUAUUUUGAACCGCAUGGUUCAAAAGUGAAAGACGGUCUUGCUGUCACUUAUAGAUGGAUCCGCGCUGCAUUAGCUAGUUGGUAAGGUAACGGCUUACCAAGGCAGCGAUGCAUAGCCGACCUGAGAGGGUGAUCGGCCACACUGGAACUGAGACACGGUCCAGACUCCUACGGGAGGCAGCAGUAGGGAAUCUUCCGCAAUGGGCGAAAGCCUGACGGAGCAACGCCGCGUGAGUGAUGAAGGUCUUCGGAUCGUAAAACUCUGUUAUUAGGGAAGAACAUAUGUGUAAGUAACUGUGCACAUCUUGACGGUACCUAAUCAGAAAGCCACGGCUAACUACGUG
rnacentral:rRNA from 1 species